rnacentral:rRNA from 1 species
GAUGAACGCUGGCGGCGUGCUUAACACAUGCAAGUCGAACGGGAAAUAUUUCAUUGAGACUUCGGUGGAUUUGAUUUAUUUCUAGUGGCGGACGGGUGAGUAACGCGUGGGUAACCUGCCAUAUACAGGGGGAUAACAGUCAGAAAUGGCUGCUAAUACCGCAUAAGCGCACAGAGCUGCAUGGCUCAGUGUGAAAAACUCCGGUGGUAUAAGAUGGACCCGCGUUGGAUUAGCUAGUUGGUGGGGUAACGGCCCACCAAGGCGACGAUCCAUAGCCGGCCUGAGAGGGUGAACGGCCACAUUGGGACUGAGACACGGCCCAGACUCCUACGGGAGGCAGCAGUGGGGAAUAUUGCACAAUGGGGGAAACCCUGAUGCAGCGACGCCGCGUGAAGGAAGAAGUAUCUCGGUAUGUAAACUUCUAUCAGCAGGGAAGAUAGUGACGGUACCUGACUAAGAAGCCCCGGCUAACUACGUG